rnacentral:lncRNA from 1 species
GGGUGUGAGGGUUGUUGGAUUUCUCUUCUUCGAAGUGGAAGAGAGGGUGGAGUGAGUGAGGGUUGUGGGUUUUCUUUUAUUUGGUUUGAUCACAUUUAGGGUAAAAAAAGUGAACCUAAGCAAUCAAGCAUAAUCAAUUUGAAAAAUAUUCUAGCUCUAAAACAGUGACAUCAUUAGCUUGGGAAAAAGAAAAUAUUUUGGAUAAAAUGCUUAAUAAAAAACUCACGGGCAGAUUUCUCUACUGAAGUUAGCACUUGCAGUUGGCUGAAAGUUCCCUAUUCAAACCAAAUUCUGUUUGAACUCCUCUUCCAAAAGAUGAUACCUCAAAUGAAUAAGGUCUCUAAGCUGGAAACUGCACCACAGAUCUUAACAACAUCACAAACCAACAAUAUAAUUCACCAAUCCAAAUAUUAACAUUACACCAGUAAACAUUCAGGGCAACACCAAAUUUGAAACAAAUAAAUUGGAACUUAGAAUGUCAAUAACUGAUACAAGCAAGAAAUAACAGUUAUGAAACACAUAGGGAGUCAAAAGGAACCUAAGAUAUGUGCUAUAAUAGAUUUCAUAAUGCAAAAACUGGUUAUGACUGAAUUUUCACGUUAAAAUUGGCCUAGUGCAAUGACUAAUUUGCACUGUUUCAAUUCAAUGCACAAUGGCUCAUGUAAAUUCAUUCAAACAAGUUUCAUUGUGCUUAUUACAACUACUCAAGGUCAAUUUGCACAAGUUUAUUAGAUUUUAUGCAAUUUCUCAUGUUCA